rnacentral:rRNA from 1 species
AUUGAACGCUGGCGGCAUGCCUUACACAUGCAAGUCGAACGGCAGCGGACCUUCGGGUGCCGGCGAGUGGCGAACGGGUGAGUAAUGCAUCGGAACGUACCUUUCAGUGGGGGAUAACGUAGCGAAAGUUACGCUAAUACCGCAUAUUCUGUGAGCAGGAAAGCAGGGGAUCGCAAGACCUUGCGCUGAUUGAGCGGCCGAUGUCAGAUUAGCUAGUUGGUGAGGUAAAGGCUCACCAAGGCGACGAUCAGUAGCGGGUCUGAGAGGAUGAUCCGCCACACUGGGACUGAGACACGGCCCAGACUCCUACGGGAGGCGGCAGUGGGGAAUUUUGGACAAUGGGGGCAACCCUGAUCCAGCCAUGCCGCGUGAGUGAAGAAGGCCUUCGGGUUGUAAAGCUCUUUCGGCCGGGAAGAAAUCGCACAGGCUAAUACCUUGUGUGGAUGACGGUACCGGAAUAAGAAGCACCGGCUAACUACGUGCCAGCCGCCGCUGUAACAC